UAGCUAGUUGGUGGGGUAAGGGCCUACCAAGGCGACGAUCGGUAGCUGGUCUGAGAGGAUGGCCAGCCACACUGGGACUGAGACACGGCCCAGACUCUUACGGGAGGCAGCAGUGGGGAAUAUUGGACAAUGGGGGGAACCCUGAUCCAGCAAUGCCGCGUGUGUGAAGAAGGCCUGAGGGUUGUAAAGCACUUUCAGUGGGGAGGAGGAUUGAUUGGUUAAGAGCUGAUUGAUUGGACGUUACCCACAGAAGAAGCACCGGCUAACUUCGUGCCAGCAGCUGCGGUAAUACGGAGGGUGCGAGCGUUAAUCGGAAUUACUGGGCGUAAAGGGUCCGUAGGUGGUUGUAUAAGUUAGCUGUGAAAUCCCUGGGCUCAACCUGGGCAGGUCAGCUAAGACUGUAUGACUCGAGUAUAGGAGAGGGUAGUGGAAUUUCCGGUGUAGCGGUGAAAUGCGUAGAGAUCGGAAGGAACACCAGUGGCGAAGGCGGCUACCUGGCCUAAUACUGACACUGAGGCACGAAAGCGUGGGGAGCAAACAGGAUUAGAUACCCUGGUAGUCCACGCUGUAAACGAUGUCAACUAGUUGUUGGCCUUAUGAAUGAGGUUAGUGACGC
rnacentral:rRNA from 1 species